rnacentral:rRNA from 1 species
GACGAACGCUGGCGGCGUGCUUAACACAUGCAAGUCGAACGGAAAGGCCCUGCUUUUGUGGGGUGCUCGAGUGGCGAACGGGUGAGUAACACGUGAGUAACCUGCUCUUGACUUUGGGAUAACUUCAGGAAACUGGGGCUCAUACCGGAUAGGAGCUCCUGCUGCAUGGUGGGGGUUGGAAAGUUUCGGCGGUUGGGGAUGGACUCGCGGCUUAUCAGCUUGUUGGUGGGGUAGUGGCUUACCAAGGCUUUGACGGGUAGCCGGCCUGGGAGGGUGACCGGCGACAUUGGGACUGAGAUACGGACCAGAGUCCUACGGGAGGCAGCAGUGGGGAAUAUUGCACAAUGGGCGGAAGUCUGAUGCAGCAACGCCGCGUUCGGGAUGACGGCCUUCGGGUUGUAAACCGCUUCCGCCUGUGACGAAGCGUGAGUGACGGUAAUGGGUAAAGAAGCACCGGCUAACUACGUG